CGUCUUCCCGAUCGGCGAGCGGUGGGCGCUUCUGGCGCUCGCGGCGGCGCUGUUCGAUCAGCGGGUGGCGC
rnacentral:tRNA from 1 species